rnacentral:misc_RNA from 1 species
AACGCACCUUGCGCUCCUUGGUAUUCCAUGGAGCAUGCCUGUUUGAGUGUCACGUAAACCCUCACCCUCGCGAUGUAACAGUCGCCCGCGGUGGACUUGGACCGUGCCGUAGUCGGCUCGUCUUGAAAUGCAUUAGCUGGCGCUUUUAGAGUGCUGGGCGACGGUGUGAUAAUUAUCUGCGCCAAUAGCCCUGGGCCUCUUCAGCGGCGCUGCUUACAGCCGUCCCUCGUGGACAACUAUUUUAAAGCUUUGGCCUCAAAUCAGGUAGGACUACCCGCUGAACUUAA